GACGAACGCUGGCGGCGUGCCUAAUACAUGCAAGUCGAGCGCAGCGGCGGAUGGGUGAGUCACGCGUGGGUAACCUGCCCUUAAGUCUGGGAUACCAUUUUGACACAUAUGCUCACACCGUAUACCUAAGGUUGGUCCUUCCAUGCAUUCGCUAGUUGGUAAGGUAACGGCUUACCAAGGCGAUGAUGCAUAGCCGGGUUGAGAGAGUGAUCGGCCACAUUGGGACUGAGACACGGCCCAAACUCCUACGGGAGGCAGCAGUAGGGAAUCUUCCACAAUGGACGAAAGUCUGAUGGAGGAACGCCGCGUGAGUGAAGAAGGUUUUCGGAUCGUAAAGCUCUGUUGUUGGUGAAGCGGUAAUCAACCAGAAAGUAACGGCUAACUACGUGCCAGCAGCCGCGGUAAUAC
rnacentral:rRNA from 1 species